rnacentral:rRNA from 1 species
UACGAAGGGGGCGAGCGUUGUUCGGAAUUACUGGGCGUAAAGGGCUCGUAGGCGGCCAACUAAGUCAGACGUGAAAUCCCUCGGCUUAACCGGGGAACUGCGUCUGAUACUGGAUGGCUUGAGAUUGGGAGAGGGAUGCGGAAUUCCAGGUGUAGCGGUGAAAUGCGUAGAUAUCUGGAGGAACACCGGUGGCGAAGGCGGCAUCCUGGACCAACACUGACGCUGAGGAGCGAAAGCGUGGGGAGCAAACAGG